UCGUCCAAAAGCUAAACGGAAUGAUUGUAUGAUCCAGCAACUUCACUCAUAGGAACAUACCAAAAGAAUUAAAAACUGGUGUUCAAGGAGAAAAUUUGUACCUGGAAGUACACAGCAGCACAGUAUGGAAAAUGGGAAACUGAGGUAGGAUAGAAGAAAUUUAAAAGUAGGUAGAAAGGAAACAUAAAGGAGGAAGAGGAAAUGAAUUUUUUUCUUUUUAAUUUUUUUAGUUGUUGAUGGACCUUAAUUAUUUAUUUAUAUGUGGUGCUGAGAAUCAAACCCAGGGCCUCCUGCAUGCUCGGCAAUGCUCUUCCACAAAGCUACAACCCGACCCAUGGAAUUAAAGUUUUAAUUUAGAAGUUCCAGGUACUUUCCCAGGCCUGGCAAUCCCUAAACCUGUCUCCUUCCCAGGCCUGCAACUCCCAAAGCCCUGGGACAUCUGUCCAUCUACCUUGUGCACUGUUAAUUAUGACCCCUGGCCCCAUAAACUGAUUAAGCAAAGAGAGAAAUUAUAUUGUGAAAAGCCUUUAACUUAGGGGACUUUCCAGCCUUAUCUGUUGAUCAGAUAGUAAAGAUGCUGGCCUAAGGAGCCCAGAAUCACCAGAGCCACACCAGCGUCUUGUAAUUACCAGACUGAAGUCUACCCCCCAUACCUUCACCCCCACCCCUCCAAUUCCUUUGAAGGAGAGCCUGGAACUGGGAAAACUUGUCUCUCACUCUCAGGAUGGCCUGCCUCCCCCAGGAAUGUGCAUCUACUUUCCUAAAUAAACCUCUGUCUGGGCCUCUGACCCUGCCUGAUAAAAUUCUCUUCCCUUGGUAUGCCAAGGACACAGCUGGUCCUGAGUGAAUUUGCCCUUCUCUCUGCCACUUUCCCGGGCCUUCUCUGGAGACCCCUCUUCUCCCAUGACAGAAACAUCUCAAAGGUCCAUAAGGAGAUGGGAAUUACUGCUUUGUGUGGUUCCUAUACACAAAAUGAAAUAUUAUUCAGCCACAAAAAAGUACUGAAGCUCUGACACAUACAUGGGCAAAACACAGGAAGUAAUACUGUAGGAUUCCAUAGAGCAGAUGUCCAGAAUGGGUGAAUCUACAGACAGGAAGUAGACCAGUGGUUAUAAGUAGGGGAAGAAUGAAUGGGUGUUAGCACAAAGGGACUGGGCCAGACGCAAACUUCACAGGUCAGCAAAGCCUUUAUUCAGGAACGGAAUUCUACCUCGGAUGGACCCACUCUCCCAGUGGAAAAUGGGCCACUGAUCAAAGGAGGAGUCUGGGCUGAGUGAUUGUGUCAAUUUGGGCACUCAGGAAUUUUUUUCUUUUUCUUUUCUGGGCAAUGUAGGGCCUGAGGUCAGCGGUCAGUAUCUGGGAUUUGUCUUUACUGGAUAAGAUGGAGGGUCGGGGGUCAGAGGCCAGCAUAUGGAAAGGAUUUAUUUGGGGAGAGAUCAGUGCUUAAGUCCCUUCCCAGAGACUGUCAUUCUAGGUUUGAUGGACAACUUCUCCCCAGGGCUUGUUUUGUCACCGUGAAGACUGUUUUGGGAAAGGAUCAAUGCAUUGCCUUCUCCUGCAUUCCCUCUCCUGGGCCUAUAGUUUAAAAAAAAAAAUCUUUUUAGUUGUAGAUGGACAUAAUAAUAUUUGUUUGUUUGUUUACUUAUGUAUUUUGUGAUGCUGAGGAUGGAACCCAG
rnacentral:lncRNA from 1 species